UACAGGAGGUGCGAGCGUUAAUCGGAAUUACUGGGCGUAAAGCGCACGUAGGUGGCGACGUAAGUCGGGUGUGAAAGCCCCGGCUCAACCUGGGAAUGCUUCGAGACUGCAUUGCUGGAGUACGGAAGAGGAAGGCGGAAUUCCCGGUUGUAGCGGUGAAAUGCGUAGUAUAUCGGGAGGAACAUCAGGUGGCGAAGGCGGCCUU
rnacentral:rRNA from 1 species